AACGAACGCUGGCGGCAUGCCUAACACAUGCAAGUCGAACGAGACCUUCGGGUCUAGUGACGUACGGGUGCGUAACGCGUGGGAACCUGCCCUUAGGUUCGGAAUAACUCCCCGAAAGGGGUGCUAAUACCGGAUAAUGUCUUCGGACCAAAGAUUUAUCGCCUUUGGAUGGGCCCGCGUUGGAUUAGCUAGUUGGUAGGGUAAAAGCCUACCAAGGCGACGAUCCAUAGCUGGUCUGAGAGGAUGAUCAGCCACACUGGGACUGAGACACGGCCCAGACUCCUACGGGAGGCAGCAGUGGGGAAUAUUGGACAAUGGGCGAAAGCCUGAUCCAGCAAUGCCGCGUGAGUGAUGAAGGCCUUAGGGUUGUAAAGCUCUUUUACCCGGGAUGAUAAUGACAGUACCGGGAGAAUAAGCGCCGGCUAACUCCGUG
rnacentral:rRNA from 1 species